rnacentral:rRNA from 1 species
AACAGGAUUAGAUACCCUGGUAGUCCACGCCGUAAACGAUGUCGAUUUGGAGGUUGUGCCCUUGAGGCGUGGCUUCCGGAGCUAACGCGUUAAAUCGACCGCCUGGGGAGUACGGCCGCAAGGUUAAAACUCAAAUGAAUUGACGGGGGCCCGCACAAGCGGUGGAGCAUGUGGUUUAAUUCGAUGCAACGCGAAGAACCUUACCUGGUCUUGACAUCCACAGAACUUGCCAGAGAUGGCUUGGUGCCUUCGGGAACUGUGAGACAGGUGCUGCAUGGCUGUCGUCAGCUCGUGUUGUGAAAUGUUGGGUUAAGUCCCGCAACGAGCGCAACCCUUAUCCUUUGUUGCCAGCGGU